GAUGAACGCUGACAGAAUGCUUAACACAUGCAAGUCAUUGGCGAAGCUGCGCUUGCGCAGUCUAGCCAAGGCGGACGGGUGAGUAACGCGUAAGGAACUUGCCCUGCAGACAGGGAUAACAGACGGAAACGACUGAUAACACCUGGUAUUGUCAGGCUGGCGCAUGCCGGCCUGAUGAAAGGAGACACUGCAGGAGAGCCUUGCGUCCUAUUAGCUAGUUGGUGGGGUAACGGCCCACCAAGGCGAUGAUAGGUAGCCGGCCUGAGAGGGUGAACGGCCACAAGGGGACUGAGAUACGGCCCUUACUCCUACGGGAGGCAGCAGUGGGGAAUAUUGGACAAUGGGGGCAACCCUGAUCCAGCAAUUCUGUGUGCACGAAGAAGGUUUUCGGAUUGUAAAGUGCUUUCAGCAGGGAAGAAGAAAGUGACGGUACCUGCAGAAGAAGCGACGGCUAAAUACGUG
rnacentral:rRNA from 1 species